rnacentral:lncRNA from 1 species
UUUUUCAAAAAUGUCGUGCCUAACUUUGGACGACGAAGAAAAUUGUAAAGCAGGUGAUAUUAAGGACGUGGUGUCAACAUAUGAUACCUCUGUGACGUCCGAGUGUGAUGCUGAGGUGGCUGAAAUUACCUUAGGCAGUAAGAUAUUGCCAUCUGUGGUACAACCACCCNUUUUGGAGUUGAAACCUUUACCAUCCCAUUUGAAAUAUGCUUAUCUUGAGAGGGAUGGGAAACCCCCUGUUAUUAUAUCUGCAU